rnacentral:rRNA from 1 species
GAUCCUGGCUCAGAACGAACGCUGGCGGCAUGCCUAACACAUGCAAGUCGAACGCCUGUAGCAAUACAGGAGUGGCAGACGGGUGCAAAACGCGUGGAAACCUAUCCUUGGGUUCGGAAUAACCGCGGGAAACUGCGGCUAAUACCGGAUACGUCCUUCGGGAGAAAGAUUUAUCGCCCAUUGAGGGGUCCGCGUCUGAUUAGCUAGUUGGUGAGGUAAUGGCUCACCAAGGCGACGAUCAGUAGCUGGUCUGAGAGGAUGAUCAGCCACACUGGAACUGAGACACGGUCCAGACUCCUACGGGAGGCAGCAGUGGGGAAUAUUGGACAAUGGGCGCAAGCCUGAUCCAGCAAUGCCGCGUGGGUGAUGAAGGCCUUCGGGUUGUAAAGCCCUUUUGGCGGGGACGAUGAUGACGGUACCCGCCGAAUAAGCUCCGGCUAACUUCGUG